GACACAAACAAAGUGCCCCCAAACAGGCUGGAGUGAGCCGAGCGGCAACGGCGGCGGCGCCGGCCCGCACGCGCGCGGCGGCGGCUCCCUCCCAACCUUCCCCUCCCCUUCCCUCACUCCCCUUCCCCUUCCCCACCCCGCCCCGCCGGGAAAACGCGAGCCGUCGCCGCGCUCCCCAAACCGCCGCCUGCCCUCGGCCAACCGCCCCAACGGCCGCCCGCGCGCGGCUACCCGCGCCCCCUCGCUCCUCCCCUUAGGCCCCUCCGGGAGCCGGAGGUGCUUUCCUCGUCUCCGCCUCGCGCUCUCCCACCUCGCAGGCACGCCGGUGGGCUCUGCCGCCAUGCCCCAGCCACAGGCUGCUCACGGGCCUAGGCGCGGCGGCCCGAGAUAGGGUGCCCUGAGCCUCCCGGGGGAGGAGAGGGAGCCAGCCGCGCGCUCCGCCCCCUCCCCCCGGGCUGUCGCCGCCACCGCCACCGCCGCCGCCACCUCGCCGCCUCAGCCUGGCGGGGAGGAGCAGCAGCAGGCCUCCGGGCCCCGGCACCGCCGCCCGCAGGUAAUGGGGAAGGGAAGGCGAACGGGGGGAUGACUAGCCAC
rnacentral:lncRNA from 1 species